rnacentral:rRNA from 1 species
UUUCCCUAGUAACGGCGAGUGAACAGGAAAAAGCUCAAAGUUGGAACCUGUUUGGCCUAGCUAAACCGGAUUGUAAACUGUAGAAGUGUUUUCCAGGCAAGCCGGACCGAUAAGUCCUUUGGAACAGGGCAUCAUAGAGGGUGAGAAUCCCGUCUUCGGUCUGAGCAUUUGCCUUUUGCGAUACACUUUCAAAGAGUCAGGUUGUUUGGGAAUGCAGCCUAAAUUGGGUGGUAAAUCUCACCUAAAGCUAAAUAUUGGCGAGAAACCGAUAGCGAACAAGUACCGUGAGGGAAAGAUGAAAAGAACUUUGAAAAGAGAGUUAAACAGUAUGUGAAAUUGUUAAAAGGGAACCGUUUGGAGCCAGACUGGCUUGUCUGUAAUCAGUCUAAGUUUCGGCUUGGAUGCACUUGCAGGCUAUGCCUGCCAACGACAAUUUGGCUUGAGGGAAAAAACUAGGGGAAAUGUGGCCCAUUCGUGGGUGUUAUAGUCCCUUAGAAAAUACCUUGGGCUGGAUUGAGGUACGCAGCGAAUGCUAUUUGGCGAGUUGGCUGGGAAUAUUUUCUGAGGUGCUCCGGUACUGAGGUUGAUAUUUCCAGUUACACUUCUAUUCGCUUAGGUUGUUGGCU